CCUACGGGAGGCAGCAGUGAGGAAUAUUGGUCAAUGGACGGAAGUCUGAACCAGCCAUGCCGCGUGCAGGAAGACGGCGCGAUGAGUUGUAAACUGCUGUUGUACAAGGGUAAACCGGAAUACGUGUAUGCAGCUGAAAGUACGGUACGAAUAAGGAUCGGCUAACUCCGUGCCAGCAGCCGCGGUAAUACGGAGGAUCCAAGCGUUAUCCGGAUUUAUUGGGGUUAAAGGGUGCGUAGGCGGAUUGAUAAGUUAGAGGUGAAAUGUCAGAGCUGAACUCGGGAACUGCCUCUAAGACUUUUGAUCUAGUGCGUAGGUGCGGUAGGCGGAAUGUCUGGUGUAGCGG
rnacentral:rRNA from 1 species